rnacentral:misc_RNA from 1 species
GUCUAUCACACGCCACCACUGCUGUUUUUUUUUUGGUUUGCGAUGCGAUCAGGUACCGGCACACCUUACACACUUACACAGGGCACUCCAGGUGUAUCCAUGUAUCAAAAUGUGUCGCGGAGCGUAUCGCCAUCAGUCCGAUCGCGCCAGGCUCCCAGGGUGGAUCUGGAGACAAUCGAGGAGCUGCAAGAUGCGUGGAGCAGACGGUAUGAGACACUGCGCGACCCGCCACCGCCGCCGCUUCUCAACUCCCCUCGCUCCCUUCGCGCCUGUGAAUUGGCAAAUGUGAGUCCGCAAUCCACGUUGCAGAAGCUGUCGCUCAAACAGCAUCUGUUUUGUGUCCUCGGCAACCCACACGCGCUCAGCUCGCUGCCCGACUCGGCUACCACAGAGUAUCAGGUGCUGAUGCAGUCCGCCUUGCGCAGCUUUAGGGAGGCUGCUGUGGGACUCGGCACGUCACAAGAGAAGCUUGCCGCGUUCAUCGCCUUCACGAACCAAGAGAAGCUUCGCGUUCCCCAACUGGCGUCACUACGAGAGCUGCGACGUCAGUUGGUGGCUAAAGAAGCGAUAGCCGAGCGAGGGCGUCAUCACCAGCAGCCAGACUACGAAGUCUCGAAGCGGAGUAGCAACGCCUCCGCGGCUUACCAGGAUGCCGGUGACCAAGAUGCACACCUUAGCAACCUGAGGAGAGUGAACGUGCUGCGUUCGUCGAAAACGGAAAAAAGUCUGCAACGGAGUAGGGCGUCCUCCCUGAGUCAUCAGCGAGGAGACAGCACCACGGGUGCCCGAAAAACGCGUUUCCAGUCACCACGUUUCUCUCCGUUGGAAUCGGUGUCUUUUGUCCAAGCAGAGGCAGCCAGUGACGAAUAUGAUGAGGACAUCCGCGGCCGUGGAGCAGCACGGGGCUUCGCUCCGACGCCUACUCCGUCUGGGAAGCUCCCCUACAAGCCCCGCGACGUCUACUUGCUCAACAGCAGCUAUUUCGCGAACCGCAGCAUCCGUAGCGACGGGAGUAACCCGUGCGGCGCACCGCUUCCUACUUCGUCCCCUGGCACGCCGCCUCGAUCGUGGGGAGGCGCCAUUACCGCGACGGCGUUCGCGAAGCUGCCGGCUCCCUCACAGCAGCCGCUGUUAACUGUAGACUCCAGUCUCGGCUCCGUCAUCGACGUGGACAGUGAAUUUUCACUGGUUCGCGAAGCAGAGGAUACCACUGAUUCGCGCUCUGCUCCGAAGCAGGACCUCAGCAUUGCUUCGAUGAACAGCAGUCAGCUCGAGCUGCUGAACAUUGCCGAGUUAGCGGCCUCAUCGAGUGAGGCGGCCCUUGCUCAGCCAUCGGCUGCGACGGUGCUGGCGGGGAUCCGGGGAAAGGUGGCAGAUGGGUCUCUAUCAAAGCACACCGUGACUCUUUUUCAUGAUUCCGACGAGAAGCAAAGCCGUGGGGCUGCAGCAGCGACUGCAGCGGAGGAGGUGGCUGUGGCUUCCUCAACGGCGUCUAUCGCCGAGCGGAAGCCAGCGCCUUCCAGUCAGCCCUUGAAGCAGCGAGGACUGUGUGGAUACACAAAUCAUGGAAACUUCGCGUCCUUGUUGAUCCCUAACGUGCUCGCUCGGCCUGUGUCGCUGCCGGCAGAGAGGAAAGUAGCGCCGUUUUCUUUGUGUGUCGCCGCAGCGGCGAUCUCCCCUUCCGACAAAGAGAAGGCUGCGGCGUCGGAACAGCAGGAAGGGAUAACCUCGACAACGGCAAUUGCGAUUGAAUCUACUGACUCUGCGGAGCCAGCAGCCGCUCCUGCACCAUCGCGACUGCCUUUACCGCCUUUGAUCACGCAAGCAGAGGAGAGCGACGGAUUCGUGUACUACUGUGCCAACCCCUCACACAGCGUCAUAGAUUCCUACACAGGUAGGCGUAAGCUGCUCGCCGUCACGGUGAAGCUGUAGGGGGGCGGGGGGGUGCAGAAGGGAAAGUAAUGGAGGGAGGGGGAGGGGCAUCUGCGUGUGUGACUGUAGACAAAGCAGCCACCAAGCCGCAAAUCCGCAUGCAGGGUGUGGUCUUCCAUCUCGGUGACGAUGGCGAGAUAUGGCGGAAUGAGCUCGCAGAAGAAUGGAGGGACCCGGUCUGGGUCGCCGGAGACGAGGAGAGCAAUGCGCACUAGCAGGGGCAGCACCCCUCGGGCACGUCUUUGAGGCUCAUUUGUUUAGCUGCUAGUUCAGCGCCUCUCGUGUGCGCAUCGCCUCAGCUCCUCUCUCAAUAUGUCUCUCUUUCGCCCUCUCUCUCACCCCAACGGCGGGUCUUUGUGUGUUGGCUAAGACAGUAGACGAAAUCGUUUUUUCGUUGUUGUUGUUUUGUUUGCAUGCUAGGCAGUUAGAGUGCUGGCAGGUGCGGCCUAUCCUCGGGUGCACUACAGACCCGCCGACUUACCCACAGCGGCGCGCCGCUCAAGAGGCGUUUUCCGCAUCAUUGGCGAAUGACUGAAAGACUACAAAAGGAUGGCGCGCAGAGACGCGUCAGCAUUCGUCGCGGACACUGUGCUGCACAAACUAUCGAAGUUUCAUGCGAAUGCAAGGCUAUCAGCGCAUGCAGGCAAGCAUCAAGUGUGCCGCCUACUAGAUAUUCGGAACUGCACAUACGUAAAAGCUGGUUGUGCUUUUCCAUUGCGAUUGGUGCUAGCGCCCUUUCUUUCUUCUCUACUCCUCCAUACUCUCUUUGCGCGUCCGCAAG